rnacentral:rRNA from 1 species
UACGGAGUGUGCGAGCGUUACUCGGCCUCACUGGGCUUAAAGAGCACGUAGGCGGAAGUGCAAGUCGGUAUUGAAAUCCCCCGGCUCAACCGGGGAAUAGGUGCCGAAACUGCGCUUCUUGAGGUCGAGAGGGGAGAGCGGAACUUCUGGUGGAGCGGUGAAAUGCGUAGAUAUCAGAAGGAAUAUCGGUGGCGAAAGCGGCUCUCUGGCUCGAAUCUGACGCUGAGGUGCGAAAGCUAGGGGAGCAAAUGGG